rnacentral:rRNA from 1 species
UGCUUCCUGCAGUCGACGGUAACGCGGGGCAACCUGGCGACGAGUGGCGAACGGGUGAGUAAUGUAUCGGAACGUGCCCAGUAGUGGGGGAUAGCCCGGCGAAAGCCGGAUUAAUACCGCAUACGACCUACGGGUGAAAGGGGGGGAUCGCAAGACCUCUCGCUAUUGGAGCGGCCGAUAUCAGAUUAGGUAGUUGGUGGGGUAAAGGCCUACCAAGCCGACGAUCUGUAGCUGGUCCGAGAGGACGACCAGCCACACUGGGACUGAGACACGGCCCAGACUCCUACGGGAGGCAGCAGUGGGGAAUUUUGGACAAUGGGCGCAAGCCUGAUCCAGCCAUGCCGCGUGCGGGAAGAAGGCCUUCGGGUUGUAAACCGCUUUUGUCAGGGAAGAAAUCUUUCGGGUUAAUACCCUGGAGGGAUGACGGUACCUGAAGAAUAAGCACCGGCUAACUACGUGCCAGCAGCCGCGGUAAUACGUAGGGUGCAAGCGUUAAUCGGAAUUACUGGGCGUAAAGCGUGCGCAGGCGGUUGUGUAAGACAGAUGUGAAAUCCCCGGGCUCAACCUGGGAACUGCAUUUGUGACUGCACAGCUGGAGUGCGGCAGAGGGGGAUGGAAUUCCGCGUGUAGCACUGAAAUGCGUAGAUAUGCGGAGGAACACCGAUGGCGAAGGCAAUCCCCUGGGCCUGCACUGACGCUCAUGCACGAAAGCGUGGGGAGCAAACAGGAUUAGAUACCCCUGGUAGUCCACGCCCCUAAACGAUGUCAACUGGUUGUUGGGAAGGUUCCUUCUC